GAGCGGAUGAAGGGAGCUUGCUCCUGGAUUCAGCGGCGGACGGGUGAGUAAUGCCUAGGAAUCUGCCUGGUAGUGGGGGAUAACGUUUCGAAAGGAACGCUAAUACCGCAUACGUCCUACGGGAGAAAGCAGGGGACCUUCGGGCCUUGCGCUAUCAGAUGAGCCUAGGUCGGAUUAGCUAGUUGGUGAGGUAAUGGCUCACCAAGGCGACGAUCCGUAACUGGUCUGAGAGGAUGAUCAGUCACACUGGAACUGAGACACGGUCCAGACUCCUACGGGAGGCAGCAGUGGGGAAUAUUGGACAAUGGGCGAAAGCCUGAUCCAGCCAUGCCGCGUGUGUGAAGAAGGUCUUCGGAUUGUAAAGCACUUUAAGUUGGGAGGAAGGGUUGUAGAUUAAUACUCUGCAAUUUUGACGUUACCGACAGAAUAAGCACCGGCUAACUCUGUG
rnacentral:rRNA from 1 species